GAUGUACGCUGGCGGCUUGCCUAAUACAUGCAAGUCGAGCGAACCGACGAGGAGCUUUGUCCUCUGACGAUAGCGGCUGACGGGUGAGUAACACAUGGCUAACCUACUUAUAAGACUGGGAUAACUUCGGGAAACCGGAGCUAAUACCGGUUAAUAUUUUGAACAGCAUUGUUAAUAAGUGAAAGCCCGUGUUGCUGUCACUUAUAGAUAGAUCAGCGCUGCAUUAGCUAGUUGGUAAGGUAACAGCUAACCAAGGCAACGAUCCGUAGCGGACCUGAGAGGGGGAGCGGCCAGAUUGGAACUGAGACACGGUCCUGAGUCCUACGGGAGCCACCAGUGGGGAAUAUACCGCAACGGGCGCAAGCCUGACGGAGCAACGCCGCGUGAGUGAUGAAGGUCUUCGGAUCGUAAAACUCUGUUAUUAGGGAAGAAGAGAUGUGUAAGUAACUGUCAAUGUCUUGACGGUACCUAAUGAGAAAGGCACGGCUAACUACGUG
rnacentral:rRNA from 1 species